rnacentral:rRNA from 1 species
UACGUAGGGGGCUAGCGUUGUCCGGAAUCAUUGGGCGUAAAGAGCGUGUAGGCGGCCCGGUAAGUCCGCUGUGAAAGUCGGGGGCUCAACCCUCGAAUGCCGGUGGAUACUGUCGGGCUAGAGUGCGGAAGAGGCGAGUGGAAUUCCUGGUGUAGCGGUGAAAUGCGCAGAUAUCAGGAGGAACACCGAUUGCGAAGGCAGCCCGCUGGGACGUCACUGACGCUGAGACGCGAAAGCGUGGGGAGCAAACAGG